rfam:Salmo salar isolate Sally breed double haploid chromosome ssa14, whole genome shotgun sequence.
UACAUUCACUACUGUAAGUCGCUCUGGAUAAGAGCAUCUGCUAAAAUUUAAUAUU